rnacentral:rRNA from 1 species
UACGUAGGGUGCGAGCGUUAAUCGGAAUUACUGGGCGUAAAGCGUGCGCAGGCGGUUUUCCAAGACAGAUGUGAAAUCCCCGGGCUCAACCUGGGAAUGGCAUUUGUGACUGGAAGGCUAGAGUGUGUCAGAGGGGGGUAGAAUUCCACGUGUAGCAGUGAAAUGCGUAGAGAUGUGGAGGAAUACCGAUGGCGAAGGCAGCCCCCUGGGAUAACACUGACGCUCAUGCACGAAAGCGUGGGCAGCAAACAGG